rnacentral:rRNA from 1 species
AAUCAACGCUGGCGGCGUGCCUCAGACAUGCAAGUCGAACGAUUAAAGCUCUCUUCGGAGAGUGCAUAGAGUGGCGCACGGGUGUGUAACACGUAAGUAAUCUACCCUCGAGUGGGGAAUAACGUGCGGACACGGGCGCUAAUACCGCAUAAUGGAGCGGCAUCAUAAGAUGACAGUUGUUAAAGAUUUAUCGCUUGAGGAGGAGCUUGCGGCAGAUUAGCUAGUUGGUAAGGUAACGGCUUACCAAGGCUACGAUCUGUAACCGGUCUUAGAGGACGGUCGGUCACACUGACACUGAAUAACGGGUCAGACUCCUACGGGAGGCAGCAGUCGGGAAUUUUGGGCAAUGGGCGAAAGCCUGACCCAGCAACGCCGCGUGAAGGAUGAAGUAUUUCGGUAUGUAAACUUCGAAAGAAUAGGAAGAAUUAAUGACGGUACUAUUUAUAAGGUCCGGCUAACUACGUGCCAGCCGCCGCCGUAACAC